rnacentral:tRNA from 1 species
AGGUAGAGUGGCCGAGGAUAGGCGGCAGGCUGUAAACCUGCCCACAAAGGGUUUGCCUUUUUUUAC